UUGGCAGCAGUGGGGAGCUGGGGCUGCGGACUGGCGCUGUGGGGGCAGCUGCGCGGGGAUCCGGGUCCCUCGGGAGGGAAGUGGCGGCCCCAGGAGGCCCUGGCUGAGAGAGGCUUGGGGCCACCUAGACCCCUAGGGGUCGCGGCGUGUCGGCGAGCUGCGGAGCGAGGAGCCUGGCCGCCUCGCGGACCGACUCCUGGUCGACAACGCCCACACCUGGCGUCCGCGGGAGGCGCCGAACUUGGCGGCCCCGAAGGAGCCCCAGCAGUCGGAGGAAACCGAGACCCAAAGAGGGCAGGAAGUGCUCCAAAAGAACAAACGUCCAGGUCUCAGGCCAGCCCAUGGAUUAUCUCUCAGCUCAGCAGACUCUGAAACUUUGAACUUUUCCAACUGGUGGCCCAGGAGAAGGAUCAGCAACCCUAGGACACAGCAGGGCACAGAGCUCUCAGGGUGCCUGGAGCAGGGAGGAACACAGGAUGCCCAGCCACACAAGUGGGCCAUCUUCUCUAUGGCCCCCUCUCCCCAUUUGUCUUGAAGGCUGGCUGGAGUACAUCUCUCUGAUUUCUUCUGCAACCAGCCAGAGAGAACUCUCUGCUUUUAGAGGACUCACCUGACUAGAUCAGGCUCAACCAGGAUAAUCUUGCUUUUGCCAUUUGAUGUAUCAUAACCACAGCAGUGAUAUUUCAUCAUAUUCAGUGAGUUCCACCCACACUCAAAGGAGUUAGACAAGGGUGAGGGUUCAUUAGGGUCAUCCUAGAAUAUUGCCUGCCACAGGGCUAAAUGAAUAAUAUCAAAUAAGAUGUGUUCCAGAAAUAUGUAAAUUAUAAACACUGCUAUUCGAUUGUAAGAUUUUUUUCCCCCUCUUGUCACUUCGGAAUGCUUUUUAAGUUGUUCCCAAAUUUGGGUUGAGUCCAGAAUGGUUGAAGAUGUUGUACGUGAGAUAACACAAUAAUAUCCCUACCAUGAGCCCAGGUAGUACUGGAAAUUCAGGGUGGGUGGCAAGACCUGGUCUGCCAGCUGACUGACUCUAUUACCUUAGGCCAAGUCCCUGAAACUCUCUGAAUGUUAGAUUUCUCAUCCUGUAUAAAAUGAGAGGGUAGGACUACACAAUGUAUAAAGUUAGCCCGCUCUGAUAUUCUAGAAUUUCUAAGACUAAAUCAUACUGCUCAAAUUAAAAUCUAGCCAAGUGACUCACAAUAUCCAAAUUCAUUAAAAUAGUUCACAAAAGAAUUUCAUUAUAGAUGAAAUUACAGUGAUGUGAUUUUAAGAGGAAAAGGCAAUUUUGUGUUUAAAUGAAUCCAUUGCUAUAUUGGUUGAACUUAACUAAAUAUAAAUAGGGAUACACAACGACAUUUUUAACACUUUAUAUAAAAUGGUGAAGAGUAUUGUCUUUAGAUGACAUAUCUGUCCAGUUAUGUUCAGAAGUGAAUUUUCUCCAAGAUGUUAAAACCUGAUACUGUUUUAUAAUUUGAAUUAACUCAAUUGAUGACAAGUGAAUAACUAUCAAAGGCAGCCCUCAAAU